UUGGAAUGUAUGGUCUGACAUUGCAACUGAGAGACCACGCCCUGCUCACUCAGUCCAUCUUCAAUCUCAGAUUCUGUGCAUUCGAUGAGUUCAUCUUCUGAUAUUACACCUUUGGUUAUGUUCAGUGUGCGGUGUACGUUAACAUUUACAGUGCAGCAGGCGUGUCGCCCACCAUGGAGCCCAACUUGGGGAACGUGCCCCGC